UACAGAGGGUGCAAGCGUUAAUCGGAAUUACUGGGCGUAAAGCGCGCGUAGGUGGUUAUUUAAGUCAGAUGUGAAAGCCCCGGGCUUAACCUGGGAACUGCAUCUGAUACUGGAUAACUAGAGUAGGUGAGAGGGGAGUAGAAUUCCAGGUGUAGCGGUGAAAUGCGUAGAGAUCUGGAGGAAUACCGAUGGCGAAGGCAGCUCCCUGGCAUCAUACUGACACUGAGGUGCGAAAGCGUGGGUAGCAAACAGG
rnacentral:rRNA from 1 species